UACGUAGGUCCCGAGCGUUGUCCGGAUUUAUUGGGCGUAAAGCGAGCGCAGGUGGUUUAUUAAGUCUGGUGUAAAAGGCAGUGGCUCAACCAUUGUAUGCAUUGGAAACUGGUAGACUUAAGCGCAGGAGAGGAGAGUGGAAUUCCAUGUGUAGCGGUGAAAUGCGUAGAUAUAUGGAGGAACACCGGUGGCGAAAGCGGCUCUCUGGCCUGUAACUGACACUGAGGCUCGAAAGCGUGGGGAGCAAACAGG
rnacentral:rRNA from 1 species